UUGCUACUCCCUCCGUUUCAAAAUUUUUGUCUUAGAUUUGUCUAAAUAUAAAUGUAUCUAGUCAUGUUAGUAUUUAGAUACAUCUAUUUCUAGACAAACCUAAGACNNNAAUUUUGAGACGGAGGGAGUAUUUU
rnacentral:pre_miRNA from 1 species